rnacentral:hammerhead_ribozyme from 1 species
GUACUGUUUCCCGAUGUGUUUCGGGACUGAUGAGUCCGAAAGGACGAAACAGUUG